AGAUAAAAGGUUUAUUAUUUAUUAUUUUUUAUAUAAUCAAACAAACACGAACGAACGUAAACAAACAUAUUACCGAACGUUCACGAACGUAGUCGAACGAACGAGACCUGUGUUCGUGUUUGUGGCACCCCUGGGAAAAAUCCACAGUCCUCCUGUUCUAGCACCGCGCUGCUUUGGAUCGCUUACCAAAUUUCGGGACGAAAUUUCCUUUAAGUUGGGGAUGAUGUGACAACCCGAACUUCCGAGGUUAGUGUCGUUUAUUCUGCGACCUUAACUUUCCGUUUCCUCUUUUAAUGUGAAACUUAUUAGAAUGUCAUAAUUUCGUUACAUUUAUGUGUGUUAUGCUUUCCACUCAACACUUGUAACCUUAGUAAAUCCCCUAAUCCUAAAACGAAAAGCAUGGUUGUUUAUGUGGCAUAAUAUAGGAUUUAGUGGGCCAAUUUUGUGUCGAUUAUUGUAGCAGAAGAAAGCGUAGAUACUUUAAGCCAAACCGGUCCCUUGGUCAUUGAAAUUGGAUAUUUUUGCCAAUGGGUUCGGCAACCCAUUCACUUGGGCUUAAGCCCAUUUUAUCGACCAAACAUGUAACCGCCCAAGUUGUCAUUGGAGCACAUUAUCUAUUCCAUUGCAAACCCUAUUUCUCUCAUCAUUUGCGCACGGCAUAGCAGAUCCCUCCCCAUUCGAGAUAAUAUCUUGUGCGACCCAAAUCUUGGACGCAUUUAAUCAUUCGAUAAACAAGAACAUAAUCUACCGAGCACUCUAAGGUCGUUAGGUAGUUCGGAACAGGAACUUGCUGGC